UCCGGAGUGUUUGCGGAACGCGAGAUCUCAAUCAACCAGGUAGAUGGCAGCACAGUCCCACCUGUGUGAAGUGAAGGGAUUAUGUACUACCAUUAUUACCAGACAGUUUAUUCAGUUAGAGACAAACAGUCACAUUAAGAGAUGUGAUGACCUCAGCAGCAGGAGUCUCUUUUGUUUUGUUGGCCACAGAUCUAACCGCACAAGAAGAAUCUGCAUCUCAGGAAAUGGCAGCACAUCCUCAGAGUAAUCUGCAUUACUAGAAGACCUUAAAUGUACAUUUUUAUAACUGUCUUAUCACCAACUGAUUAAACACACAUGUAGUUCACCUCAUUCAAACUUUUACAUUUGCAGUUUUAAACACAGCAUCUUGUAGGUUUUUUUCUCUAUGUAUUGUGUUUUAUUUGUUAAUUUCUUAACCAUGUGGCUCGAGUGGUCACCUAAUUUUAUAUGAGCUCUUUCUUGUUUGCAUUAUGAUCUUGUUAAGCACUUUGUGAUGUAUAUCUGUGAAAAGUGCUAUAUAAAUACACUUUACUUACUUCUUUCUGUUG